UACGUAGGGUGCGAGCGUUAAUCGGAAUUACUGGGCGUAAAGCGUGCGCAGGCGGUUUUGUAAGUUUGACGUGAAAUCCCCGGGCUCAACCUGGGAAUUGCGUUGGAGACUGCAAGGCUGGAGUCUGGCAGAGGGGGGUAGAAUUCCACGUGUAGCGGUGAAAUUCGUAGAUAUGUGGAGGAACACCGAUGGCGAAGGCAGCCCCCUGGGCCAAGACUGACGCUCAUGCACGAAAGCGUGGGGAGCAAACAGG
rnacentral:rRNA from 1 species